CAGAAACACCCACUGAAUGCAAAUGACAGCACCAGAGGGAGGUCUCUGAGAGGGGCAGCAGGAUUCUCUUGGCUCAGUGCAACAAGGCCAGGCGUCCCAUGAAGCAACUUUAAAGCGUCGCCGGGAAGAGGAGAAAGAGGGGAGUUAGAGGAUGCGGCCCAUCUUCAUUCUGCAAGGGAAUCUGGUGGCCACAUGUAUCCCCAUCCUCUGGCUUGAUGAUGAUGAUGAAAGAUGUCAUGCUAGGAAGCUCUGGAGAUCAGAGACACGCGGACCACAUACCGGCAUUUCAACACGAGAACACGGCUCCCAGCGCCUGCCGAACCUCGGAAUUUGCACCUUGUAACACUAGAAAUGGACAUCUGUAGACGAAAGAAAAACCCUCGUGUACACAGGGAUUUUAUGGAGCCGAGGGGGGCUCUUUCAUCCCUCCAACACUGCAAGGGCAGUCCUGCUGCCAACAGUUCCCUGUUGGAUAUGAAUUGCGAGUUCAGCCACGCUGGUGUGUGUGUGCAUGCCUACGUGCGUGGGUGCACACGCGCGUUGUUCGGGGAUUAGAGGUCUCUUCCAGGCUGAACAACAAAGGGUGGCACAUGGCAGCUAUUGUCCCCGCUCAGCCAGGGUGAAGUCGGGGGAGGUCACAGCUGUCCUGACCAUAUUUAGCUCUCAGAACAGGAUUAAUUUAGUUUAGCUUUUUCUUUUCUUUCCUUUUCUUUCUUUUUGUUCUUUAUUUUUUUCCUCUCCGAGGAAUAAAUUGCUGGCUGGUUAGCAAGAAUGCAAGUCACAAGUUUCGGGACCAAUGCGGUGGUUGCUCAUCCCAUUGAAAGCCUCAGAAACUGGCUCUGUCUCAGGAAAAGGGGAACCACACGGUGUCCUCCUGGGCAGUCUGGCUCGCCAGUCGUGGUUGAUAAUCACAGAACCAGAGAAUCCUUUGAGUUGGAAGGGACCCUUAAAGACUAUCUGCCCCAACCCCCCUGCAAUGAACAGGGACACCCACCCCAUUUCAAACUGGAUGUGUCUGCAGGGAUGGGGCAUCCUCCUCCUCUCUGGUGGAGAUAAUCAGAGAGCCAUUUCACACAAAGUCAUGGAACUUGGGUUGGACCCAAGCAAUCACAGCUAUCUUCUCCCGACCUGCUUCCAAACAAUUCCUCCUAUGCAAAUCUGCACUUCUAAUGAAAAUAAAAGGGAAGGAGAAAAAAGCCCCAACCCAGAGACCCUCCUUCUCCUUGCCAGAUGAGCUGUUCCUCAGAAACACCUGUCUGCUAAAUUAGAGUGGGAAUUGUGAACGCCAAGCACAGCAUAUUUUCCUUCGCCACUAAUAUAUUGGAGUUGCAUAUGGUGCCCUUGGGGAAAGGCAAUUGUUUCAAGUCAGAUUUUCAAAUCAUGAGCAAAUCCUAGGGAGAGAGAUUUGCUGAUUUACAGUGGACCUUGAGUACAUAUCACUGGGCUGUGUCUCGGAUGGGGAAAACACAGAACAGGAGCUGAAGGGACAGUGAGGACAUGCUGUGUGAUGACACCACACGAGGGUGCAGGGAGCAAAGCCAGAGGAGUGCUUUAGCUGUGCAGAAAUUGCUAUUCCUGGUGCAAAAGAAAGGGAAAUAGCAGAGAGAAGAGAGAGGUGCACAGGGGCUGCGUCCCAUCCCAGCCAUGCAGAGGGGAGUGAGGGUCCUCCUGACAGCCCUGGGGAUGGGAAUUCCUGCACAGCAGCCAUGCAGGGACACAUAGAGGCACGAUGACUUUCGGAUCGCUUCAGAAUACAUAUUAAUGCAAAUGAGAGGUAUCUAGCUAAGCGUUUUGUCAUUUGGUCCCUCCAUAGCUGGAAGAAGGGAUUGCUUCAGAUUUAUGUGCUACGUGUUGUUUUUCUUGGCAGCGCGGAGUGGCGAGGUCUCAAAAGGCUUGCAAUUUUAGGGAUACUUUCUGAUACUUAAAGAGAGACUUCUGGCUGGAGUCCACCAACUGCCUAUAGCCACAGAUACUAAAACUCCUUUCCAAUGACUGCCACUAAUCACGCAACACUUUUAUGCUUAACAUCUUGCCCUGGAGUUGACCCAGGAACUAAUGGGUCCGAUCCUUGAAUGGUUCUCCAAGUAGUGGUGCAUGGAUGAGCCCAGCAAGACCAGAGCAGCCUUUUGGGCUGCUGCAUCUAACAAACACUGCUGGGGUUCAUUGGGGAAAAAAAAACAGUGUAUAUAUAAUAUAUAUGCAUACAUACAUAUAUUAUGUAUAUAUAUGCAUAUAAUAUAAAAACAUGUUGGUUGAACCUGGCUCUGUGCAAAUGCUGGCACACAGAUGAGGCAUGAAAUGAGCCAGUUAAGAGCCCGUGAUGAGAAAAUGAGUUGUCUUUUUGUUUUGUUUUCUGGAAAUCAGUGAAGCCCAUCUGGGAGUCAAAGGGAACAAAUGAAAGGCAUGUGGGAAUGAUAGCAAGAGAGCCAAGGUUGAGAGGAAUGGAAAGAAGGGCAGGUGCAGUGAAGGCACUAGGCUUAUCAUCAACGUCAUCACCAAAAAAUGGUUCAAUGGAUUAUUUUUUAGAUUUCAGCCUGUUCAUAAAAACAGGUCUAACACUUUGUAUGUCAAGUUCAUACAUUCAUUCCCCAGCUGAAGCCACCAAAGAGAAGGAAGGAAUGUGGAUGCUGCUCCCACCUGUCCCCUGCUGUGGGGAGCAAAGCGGCGCUGCUCGGCUCUGUAGGUUCGUUACCGAUCCCACUAAUUUUAUUUCUGAUUAUUUAUGUUUUUUCAUGAGCAGCCAUUAAAUGUUCAUUUGUUAAA
ensembl:lncRNA